GAGAGAGAAGAAAGGGAAGUGCAAAUGCAUAGCUAUAGGUGGUGUGGUUCUUUGCCCUCCACGGCCACAUCCACAACCGCAACCACCAUGAUUCGACUCCACGGUUGUGCUGUUUGCAGAGUGUCUCUCCUUCCCUCCCGCACCUCAGGUCUCCGCCAUAGUCCUUGACAUGCUUCUCAAUGCUUCUGCUUCUCCACAUUCUUUGUUCGAGGUUCUCAUCAUAUACACACGCCAUUUUCUUGUUUGGGGAGAACUGAUGAGGAUUGGGUGAUGAGGAUUGGGUUAUUAUUCUGAUAUUCAUCAGAUUUCUGUGUAGGCACCUGAUUUGCUUGAGCUCCUCUUUCAUAAAGAUUCCAACGUGCAGUGUAAGCAGCUAAGUUCCUCACUUUCCUUACAAAAUGCAAUAUGUGAACCUUCACUCAACCCAAGAAGCCAGUAUUCUAUAUUGUGUUUUUUUUUAUCCUUUUUUUUUAUUUAUACACGUGAUUUUUGUUUUUGUUUAAAUCCAUUUGAUUAUCAAAUACAUGGAGCUUGUUCAGGACUGAUGCCUCCUCUGCCUUCAAUGUGUUUAUAUACAGCUAGCAAUUUUACUUGUCACACACUGUCUUGCUUUUUCCCUUUAUAUUCAAAGAUGUUCAAUAUGUUGAUAACAGUGUUCUCGUUGGUGUUAUGAAGCAGAACUAAAGCGUGAAGAGAGAGAGCGGCAUCCUUUUAACCAGAGGGAGAAGCGCAUCCUUUAUCCUGUGGAAAUUAUUGAUGUACCUGCCGAUACAAAGGACAAAGAUGAGAUUCUUGAGAGUGAGUUCUUUGACACUAGUCAGGCAUUUCUGAGUCUCUGCCAGGGAAAUCAUUAUCAGUAUGAUACUCUAAGACGGGCCAAGCAUUCCUCUAUGAUGGUUCUCUAUCAUCUUCAUAAUCCAACUGCUCCUGCAUUUGUUACUACAUGUAACAUUUGUCGUCUUGACAUAGAAACAGGCCAAGGUUGGCGUUGUGAAGUGUGCUCUGAAUAUGAUGUGUGCAAUGCUUGCUAUCAAAAGGAUGGUGGCACGGAUCAUCCUCAUAAAUUGACAAAUCAUCCAUCAAUGGCAGAUCGUGAUGCUCUCAGAACAAGGAAGCUAGGCAACUACGAGUAUUACAGGUCUGAUGUGAAUGGAUUUCAUAAGGUCAGAGAUUUAAAAGAACACUUGAGGAGGUUGCUGUAAUGGAGAUGAUGAGGCAGAGAGCUGCAGAAGUUGCAAACAAUUCUGGAUCACCAUUUUUUAUACAUGUGGUUUUUCCCACUUUGAUAAAAUUCUAUAAUUUGUAAUAAUUAAUAUUGUAAAAUUAUGUACCUCAUAAAAGGAAACGCUUUUAAUAUAUAUUUUGGUAAAAAAAAA